UGAAGUAUUGUAAUCAAGUCUUGGAAAUAGAGUCCUUUGAGAUGUUGCACUAAGAUCUGAAACAUUUAUUAAGAGGAAACUAUGGAAGCUACCCAUCUUUACAUAUAUUCUGAAGGCACAGGGCAGGUAUUGACACUACAUGACUUCUGCCAACUGCUUUGAAUGUCAAAGUGAAGAAAUUCAAUGAAGCACAGGUAAAUGGUGGGAGUAACUAGGACUCUCUUAAGGUAGCCAAAUGCCUCAUCAUCUAAUUAGUGACUUACAUGAAUGGAUGAAAGAGAUUCCCACUAUCCCUACCUACUAUUCAGUGAAACCAGCAGAAAGGGAACAGACUUGC
rnacentral:ncRNA from 1 species